rnacentral:lncRNA from 1 species
CUCCUCUAAGACACACUCCCUAAGGGCUUCUUUCUUGAAUUCUCUGCGUCAUAUCUUGAGUGUCACACAGCUCCCUCUUGCUCAAGAACAACGUAAAGAUAGCAUCUGGGUGACUCAUGCCUAUGACACCUGGGAGCCCAGUGGAGGUACUGUUUGUUCAGGUCACAGUCACUACACCCCUGCUCUUCCUGGAACACCAUCCAAAAGCUGGUGGCAGCCAUUCCUAGCUCCUCUCUGGAGCUCCAGAAACGACAAGUUGGCCUAUUCAUUUAGCCAGCACAUAGCUAAAAUGAUCUAGUCGAUUCUGGGAAUGAGAAUGGAGAGGUGACCCCAGCCUAGAGGUCAAAGCAGGCCAGAGGCACCCAUUCAGAAGGCUGGAUUGACCACAGGAGCUUGCUCCCCUCCUCCAGUCAGCUCUCAGCUGGUCACCUUUGCUCCACUCCCAGAAGGGAAUGUUCACCUUGGUUGCAAUGCCUCAUCUCUCCGCUCAGAGCUUCACCUCAAAUACAGAAAGCACAAAGGGUUACUGUGUGGGCCACUGCCCAUGAGGCAGCCAGAGCAGAAAUCACCAGUAAUAUGAGACUGUUGGAUGCUCCACAGCCACUAGCUUAGUCAUUGUUUAAAUCAGAAGUUGGCACUUUGUUCUGAGCAGAGACCAAUACCUGGAUGUUCAAGUUGUACUGAAACCCAUGGCAGGGACACAACCUCUGAGAAGUGGACACUGGGCCAUCCUUGAUCCCUGUGGCUGAUCAGCCUGAGACCUCAGGAACUCAUGAACUCACUGGGAACACAGAUUUUCUCUUCUGAUCAACAAGGAGGUAGGAACAGGUCUACACUACACCUGAAGACACUGGGGUUCCUGAGCCUCUUGACCUGUGACAUGAGAACUACUCUGACCUUGGUCAUCUCCAUUCUUACACCUCCAUGUGUGAACAGUUCCAGAAGCAUAAUUCUGCAAGGACCAAAGCCAGAGGCGAGGAUGAGCAAGACACAGCUCAUUUCAUGAAAUGGAGUCCAUCCACCGAGCUGUCUGCAUGUCUGGAAGGGGACUGUCCAUCCACCAGGCUGUCUGCAUGUCUGGAAGGGAGCUCCAGGGAUGUAACUUUCAUAGAUCAUCACAUGUGCUGGAGUGAACUUUUCAGUGAUGCAACAGCCUUUGAGUCACCCUGUUCCUCUCACCCACCACCCUGUAAUAACCUCAAUAAAGACACUGGUUCACUACAAUA